UACAGAGGGGGCAAGCGUUGUUCGGAAUUACUGGGCGUAAAGGGUUCGUAGGUGGCUGGCUAAGUCAGACGUGAAAUCCCUCAGCUUAACUGGGGAACUGCGUCUGAGACUGGUCAGCUUGAGUGCAGGAGAGGAACGCGGAAUUCCAGGUGUAGCGGUGAAAUGCGUAGAUAUCUGGAGGAACACCGGUGGCGAAGGCGGCGUUCUGGACUGUAACUAACACUGAGGAACGAAAGCCAGGGGAGCAAACGGG
rnacentral:rRNA from 1 species